GGAAGCCGGUGAGACUCCGGCGCGGUCGCGCCACUGUAUGCCCCUUCUUCCGGUCCGCUGCCGUGCGCAGCGUACGGGCGGGGGCGAGCCAGAC
rnacentral:ncRNA from 1 species